GGGUGGGCGCAAGUGUAAAGAAAGACCAAAACAGGCGACGACUGACCUGUCGCGUCAACGCGAAACUAAUCGCUCCCAAGUCUCCCUCUGCAGCCAGCAGCAGCAGCAGCAGAAAACACACGCACGGAAAAAGCUCCGAACUUUGCUUCGCGUCCAGGUCUCCUCCCCCCACCGCCGUGCCCCCGCCGCGAGAAUGCCGCCGCCGCCGCCGCUCCCCGCCGCCGCCGGCGACGACAGCGACGACGGCGAUUGGGAGGACGUCUCGGAGGAGGAGGAGGAGGGCGGCGGCGUGGGUCGCGACGAGGAGAUGAUCGGAGGUGCGGAGGAAGGAGAGGGGUUCAUGGUCGAGGAGGAGGAGGAGGAGGAGGAGGAGGGCGGAGGACGAGAGGAGGCGGCGGAAGCGGGCGGAGGACCGGGCGGCGGCGGAAGAGGAGUAGGAGGAGGAGGAGGGGAGGGAGCUCGCGAGGACCGAAAUGAAGCUAGUCGGGAUGACAAACUUAAGGCGACAUUUGGGCGCUUGAGAUCCUGCUCUUCUGCAGCAGGAAAAUCUGAAGCCAAUUCUUCAUCUAAUAGAACUUCAGAGGACAGGAAUUGCGAUUUUGGAACUGCUGUCAUUUGGCAUGGACCAGUGAGAGAACCAGUGAAAAGGUUUGAUUCCGUUGGCAAUGAUUCUACUUCUCCAAAGCUUGGAAAAUGUCGAGGUCCUCCUGAAGAUGUUGAAGAUCCAGAGUCUGCCGUGGAUGGGAAAGGUGAUUGGGUUCAACUAGAACUACAGAGGAAAGUUCCUAUUGGCUGCAGUGGACUUUCUAGAGACCAUGCUCAUUUUGACUGUGUUGGGACUACUCAAAACCAAGAUGUCUCACUUCCAUAUGACAGCCUAACUGUUCCUGAUAUUUAUGCUGCUCCUUGUUCUGAGAAGGAUAAGCAAGUAGACUUGCAGCCCGCGGAUGGCAUGCAAAUGUCAUCAAGGUGUCCUAAGUUGAACGCUUCCAGUGCAAGGCUGAGAAGUUUGUCUCCAGGACCGGAGUUGUCAGAACGAAAUAAACGAGUAGCAAUCGUCUGUGAUUUUUUUGCAAAGGGAUGGUGCAUCAGAGGAGAUUCAUGUAGGUUUCUGCACAUCAAAGAUAAUCUGAAUAGUACUCCUGAGCUGGUGCGCAGACAUGGUACUGCUUCAAGUUGCAUAGAAGAAGCUGCCCAUGAUGAAGGACGAAACGAUGAUUUUGAUUUCUCAAAAUCACCAGGCUUGCCAAAGCAUCGUGCUUCUUCAGUUGCCAAUAAUUCUGCAUUAUGUUCUGGUUCUUCUUUGGAACAGAUUCAGUCGCAGGUGGUUAGAGAAAAGGAAAGCGUGCACCAAAUCCAUUCAAUAGCUGUUUCCAAACCCCGUGGUGUUGAAGAUUUAUUGUUUAGCACUCCAACUGAUUCCCAUCAAUUGCCUUUAUUCAAGCAUCAUGAUGGACAUAUGUCUGCAGAUAUGGACAAAGGGGGAGAUUUGCAGGAAAGGAGUUGGAGUGCUGAUGAUUACAGAAUGCAUGCUUCAAAGCUUAGUAGUGGCGGUUCUGGUUCAAUGAGGGAUUAUUGGUUACCUCCCUUGAGUGGUUCAUUACGAUCUUUUGACCUAGGCCAAGAUAAGCAAACCUCUUUUCACGCUUCCAUUUCGGAAGACCAAGUUACUUAUCAGAGAAAAUUUAUUGGCGAUUCUUCGCCUAUCAUAAGCCACGCUCUUAAUUCAAGUGUCAAAUAUCCUUUGACUACUGCAAUAUUGCCUUCCCAAAACACCUCAAGGCUGACAGGUUCUUCAAGGAUCUUUGAUACUUUCUCUGAAGUCUCAAAUCCUCUUCCUGCUCAGAGUAUUCUCGAUGUGGACAAUGCUGGCCAUCGAUCUUCUUCUCUCUUGGGAAGUUCAUCUGAUCUAGCUGGUUCUGAUCCAGGAAAUUUAUCUAGAGCAAACAUAUCCGCAGAUUCACUGCCAUGGUUUGGAAAUAGGAGGAGAUUUUCUUCUUAUGAUUGGGAGCCAUCUGAACCUUUUCGAUCAUCUUUCCUCAUAACUCCGACGACUAUAUCAUCUCCAGGGAGUAAAUGUGACCCUUUCCGUGAUAGCAUCGAGCAACAUGAAACAAGAAAUGAAUCUUUCAGAUUGUCGUUUUCUAGUCAGAGAGCAUCCGUUCUUAAUAAAGCAGAGCAGCUGGUCCAUAGCGAUUCAAAAAGGAACCUAGUUGAAGAACGUGUAAACAACAGUUAUUCAUCUUCACAUCAUAGAUUCAAUGAGCAUGGGUUAGAUGAGGGCAGCUACUUACAUGGAAAAGAUGUAAAUGGAUCUGCGGUUGAGACAGCAGAGAAUUCAGUUGUUGACAGCCAAACUGAAAAUGACAUGUCCAAAGAGAAUGACCAGCAGUCAGAUCAUGCCAAGGAUAGUUCCCACAUUGGUGGAAGUAGUAUGGAUCUUGGUUCUGCGCUUGGAAGUGAUGUAGCAGGCCACAAAAAGGACUUGCUAUCAGACAAAGUUAGACAAGAUAUUGAAAUGGAUGUCACGCAGAAGAAGGCUGCAGAUGUGAACCAGGAGUCGAAGGCAUUGAGACAUUUUCGAGUUGCUCUUAUAGAUUAUGUAAAGGAACUAUUGAAACCAACUUGGCAAGGGGGUCGUCUCAGCAAGGAUGCCCAUAAUUUGAUUGUUAAAAAAGCAGUCGACAAGGUUCUUACCACCUUACAGCCACAGCAAAUUCCACCUAACCCGGAGUCAAUAAAGCAUUUUCUUUCUUUUUCACAGCUUAAACUCACAAAGCUGGUUGAGGGAUAUGUUGACAAGCAUGGGAAAGAUUGAAAGGCCCAGUCCAACGCAUCUUAUUCAAGUUUUGCCGUGUUUUACCUGCUGGAAGCCAUAGUAGAUGGUUGUACAUUCUUCUAGUGUGAGUAAAAAAAUGAAUAGCUGAUAAACACAACAAUGUGAACCGGAAAAAACUUCACACCAUCUACUUUCUCUCUCCUUGCUUGGAUUUAGCCUUAGCGAUUGGGUUGGUGGCAUGACAUUCUCUGCAGGGGAAGAUGACACAAUGCAUUUUGCGGCCAAUCCAUGAGCUUGAAGAGUUCUUGCUGUUUUUCUGAGUUUCUUGUGGUGACCCUCUGGAGUAGGUGUGGCUGGCUAUCUGAGAUUGCUGUGCCUGAAAGAGAAGUGUGUGCGGACGAAGCUGGCCAUUGGAGAUCAAGAUGUCGGCUGGGGUGUGACUUAAUUGAUCAAGGGCAGUUUUGUCUGGUGUAGGGGGACUGAAUUUGAAUUCUCGAUCGUGUUUGGCAUUGUUGGGGGGAAGCUUUGUUUGCUGAUCUUGAAUGCACGCAAGGCCUGCAAAGGAGAGUGAAUCGAGUGAACUGUUGUCAGCUGCAACAUCCACGGAAAUCUUGUUUUGCAGGCGAGUGCCCAUUGUUCCUGGAUAAGUUGGCUUUGAAGUUUGCUCUUUAUAUAUGGAGAAAUUCGACAGUAUUUGGAUGCACAUGCUUGUUUCCACUGUUUGUUUCUUCUUUGCCUUUUGCCCUGAACAAUUAUCUAAUAUGAAAAACCUAAAUUUUUUUCUGCCCUAUUCUGAUAUGCUUUGAUCGAACACGUGUGAUUGUAGAAAAAAAGGUUAAUUUUCUCUGUGUGUCCAAACUAAAUCUAAUGAGAUCCAUAAUCUAUUAUUCCGCAUGGUAUUAACAGAAGAUAAAUUUCUUGGAGUUGCUUUUGGUGAACCGUGGGAUGCAGUUAAUUCAGUCGUGAAAAAUGUUAGCUUUUAGUAAAUAUAUGAAUUAGUGCGAGACAUUUGUGAAAAUACUCUAACACACUGUUUGUGCUUCAAGAUCGGCACGAGCAAGCUGAAGUGGCUGAUUGGAAGUCAGAGCAAGGAGAAAUCUUCUCGCAGUCCAGGUAGGAUGGUAUGUGUAAGGAUAGGCCUCCAUCUUUUGGUUGAAGUCCUUUUCAUCAUAUGCAAGUGCUAGAGAAUUGUCUGUUCGCAUGGUGGACAUUUCAAAGGGUUGUUCUCCAAUUAUAAAAUAUCCGAAACAUCCACUUAUCGCCCUCAUGCCUGAGCAGGCCUUGAUAUUUGUCAUAGUUUUGUCAUGAAGCUUGUAGUACUCCAGCCAUUGCCCUUCCAUGUGUUUGGACGUUUUUAUAUUAUCUGAUAUGUACGAGGAUUGCUGGCUGUUGUAGCAAAACGAGUCGGCGCGUUCUCAUUUAAUAGCAAACCUCCAUGCAAAAUGACAUUGCUGGGACUUGCAGGGGUGGAUAUUACGAAGGUCAAUAUCGUAUUAAAAUGUAUCGCGUUUUGUCAGUCAUUUUCAAGGGACUGCUAUAACUGUUUCCUCACCCUGAAGAUACCGUCGGUCCAGGUCUGCAUUGUCAUUUUGUUGAAGCAGGGACGGACGGGGACUUCAUUGGGAGCAGCCGGCCGGGUGUCGUGAGGACGGGCUUGGAAUUCGACCAGCUCUUAUUCGCGACUCGAAUAAGGGGGUUCAUAUUAAACCGAGCGUGCCCGGGCACUCGUCGAGCAUGUCCGGCAGGGAAAGUCUCGAUUAUGAAAUUACUGACUUCAGCUUCAGAUUGCUCGACGAGUGCAAAGAGCGUUCUUUUGAGAUCACCCGUUAAUAAAAUCCUUCGUCUGUUCGUUCGGGCCUUCAA